UGGGGAUCCUGGGGUGGGUUUCAGAGUUCUAGAGAUGUGGAAGUCCUGGAUGAGAAUGGGGCUCUGGGACAGCUCUGGAGGGUCCUAGAAGUAAGCUCUUGGGAACAAGAUCUAGAAAUCCAAAGCGGAAUCAGAGGUCUAAGAAAAAGUCUGCGGGCACUACAAGGCAGGUCUGGGGUACUGCACAGAUCUGCAGGUUCAAAAAGGUAUGGUCAGGUGAUCUAGGGGGACGAGCCCGCAGCUCUAAGAACGGGUAUAAAAACCGUAAAAGUCCUGAGACAAUCCUGAAGUCUGCAGGGUGAGGGACCAGACCUUAGAUCCUGGGGGCAGGGACUGGGUGUUAGGGAUGGGCCUGAAAGUCCUCAGUUACUACGAGAAACAGGGGCGGAGCCUAAACGUUCAGAGGGCGGGACCUCCCUCUCUCUUCCACGCGGAGAUGGAGCUUGUAAUAGACGGCGCUGGGCCCUAAGGGGUAUUGUUUCCACCUCCUGUCCUGUCCUCCAGUGUGAGGCCUAAUGGGAUCAAAUGUCAGGCAGACCUAAGUGACGAUGGGACUUGGCGUGAAGCAGACCUGGGUUUGAGUCAGAGAUCUUGGACAGAAUCUUUCUGCUCUCUGGGUUUCAGUUUCCUCCAGCACAGCUGCUUCAGGAUGCCCUUGUGAGCAGAAACCGAAGUGACAUCUGCAGAGCAGAUGGCCUGGCAGUUACCAUUCUGUUUCCAUGAGUUCAGCUGUUUCAAGUUCCACAUGUAGUCUCAUGAAGCAAAGGCAGGAUAUCCUUUGAAUGGAUAUUCUUCUCAGUCUAGCCCGAUCUGUCUUACAGUUAGUGAUAAACACCUAAAGCCAGACUCAAGAAAGAAUUAUUAGUGAAGUUUAACAUGAAAGAGCAUGCAUUCACAAGUGAAUACAACAAAGUUAUGUAUUGCAAACACUUUAUAAUAGCCAAAGAAUGGAACUUUCCAAAUACCCAUCAACAGGGGAUGACAGUAUAUCCAUGCACGGAAAUACUGUACACAGGAAAAACAGCCACUGGAUUUUAGAGACUGGUAUGAAAAAAGAAUGUAAAAUAUCUCAAUAAAUUUGUUUAUUACAUAUGGAAA